rnacentral:lncRNA from 1 species
CCAAAAUGGAGGAUAUGAUUACAAAACCGUCAGACUAAGGUUAUGUUUUAUUCCCAAAGGUUAACUUUUUCAGACUACAAAUUGCAAAUGAAGUGCUGAUCUAUGAUUGGAGUUCUCUCAAGAGAAAUUCCCUAUAUGGACAAAAUCACAGGAAUCUUUGGCUUCAGUCUUCAGCUUGGAGCUUCGACUGGUGACUUAUCUCUUGGAGGUGGCUUUGGACUUGGACUUCAGCUUCCAUUUGGGACCUUGACUUCUUGGACUGCUCCUGGAUCUUCUGCUUUGUACUUCAUCUUGGGUGAGUGAGUGGCCUUCCCUUCCUGGCUUCUGAAUAGAUUAGUUCCAGAGAGCUUACAUCUCCUUGAGGAAGCUGCAUUGGGGAAGCCUUUGUAUGGGACAUCACCAGAUCCUCUGACUGAGGGUUAAAGAGUCCUGAUAGGCCUGAGGUAGACACUGGAGCAACAUUUAGUGUGAUAGGCUAGACAUUUUCUAUAACCUCUUCUUAUAUUCUCUACUUUUACUCUUUCCACCUCUUUGUAAAUAAAAGCUACUAAAAGUUACUUGCCUUGAACUAU